UCGUCACACUAUCAUUAACUGAAUCCAUAGGUUAAUGAGGCGAACCGGGGGAACUGAAACAUCUAAGUACCCCGAGGAAAAGAAAUCAACCGAGAUUCCCCCAGUAGCGGCGAGCGAACGGGGAGGAGCCCAGAGCCUGAAUCAGCAUAUGUGUUAGUGGAAGCGUCUGGAAAGGCGCGCGAUACAGGGUGACAGCCCCGUACACAAAAGCGCAUGUGCUGUGAGCUCGAUGAGUAGGGCGGGACACGUGGUAUCCUGUCUGAAUAUGGGGGGACCAUCCUCCAAGGCUAAAUACUCCUGACUGACCGAUAGUGAACCAGUACCGUGAGGGAAAGGCGAAAAGAACCCCGGCGAGGGGAGUGAAAAAGAACCUGAAACCGUGUACGUACAAGCAGUGGGAGCACAGGUUUACCUGUGUGACUGCGUACCUUUUGUAUAAUGGGUCAGCGACUUAUAUUCUGUAGCAAGGUUAACCGAAUAGGGGAGCCGGAGGGAAACCGAGUCUUAAUUGGGCGUUAAGUUGCAGGGUAUAGACCCGAAACCCGGUGAUCUAGCCAUGGGCAGGUUGAAGGUUGGGUAACACUAACUGGAGGACCGAACCGACUAAUGUUGAAAAAUUAGCGGAUGACCUGUGGCUGGGGGUGAAAGGCCAAUCAAACCGGGAGAUAGCUGGUUCUCCCCGAAAGCUAUUUAGGUAGCGCCUCGUGAACUCAUCUCCGGGGGUAGAGCACUGUUUCGGCUAGGGGGCCAUCCCGGCUUACCAACCCGAUGCAAACUGCGAAUACCGGAGAAUGUUAUCACGGGAGACACACGGCGGGUGCUAACGUCCGUCGUGAAGAGGGAAACAACCCAGACCGCCAGCUAAGGUCCCAAAGUCAUGGUUAAGUGGGAAACGAUGUGGGAAGGCCCAGACAGCCAGGAUGUUGGCUUAGAAGCAGCCAUCAUUUAAAGAAAGCGUAAUAGCUCACUGGUCGAGUCGGCCUGCGCGGAAGAUGUAACGGGGCUAAACCAUGCACCGAAGCUGCGGCAGCGACACUCAGGUGUUGUUGGGUAGGGGAGCGUUCU
rnacentral:rRNA from 1 species